UUCCGUAGGUGAACCUGCGGAGGGAUCAUUACACAAUAAAAUACGAAGGCCGUUCGCGGCUGGACUAUUUAUUUCCCUUGUCUUUUGCGCACUUGUUGUUUCCUGGGCGGGUUCGCUCGCCACCAGGACCACAAUAUAAACCUUUUUUAUGCAGUUGCAAUCAGCGUCAGUAUAACAAAUGUAAAUCAUUUACAACUUUCAACAACGGAUCUCUUGGUUCUGGCAUCGAUGAAGAACGCAGCGAAAUGCGAUACGUAGUGUGAAUUGCAGAAUUCAGUGAAUCAUCGAAUCUUUGAACGCACAUUGCGCCCUUUGGUAUUCCAAAGGGCAUGCCUGUUCGAGCGUCAUUUGUACCCUCAAGCUUUGCUUGGUGUUGGGCGUUUUUGUCUUUGGCCCGCCAAAGACUCGCCUUAAAAUGAUUGGCAGCCGGCCUACUGGUUUCGCAGCGCAGCACAUUUUUGCGCUUGCAAUCAGCAAAAGAGGUCGGCAAUCCAUCAAGACUCCUUCUCACGUUUGACCUCGGAUCAGGUAGGGAUACCCGCUGAACUUAAGCAUAUCAAUAAGCGGAGGA
rnacentral:rRNA from 1 species